CUGGAAGUUGAGGAAGGCCAGGUCUCCCUUCACUUGGCGAACCACUUCCAUGGUCAGCGCCUUCUCUUCAUGGAUAAUGGCUAAGUGCAGGAACCUAAGAAGAAGAGAGGGAAAACCCCCAGGGCUGGUGAGAUGACUCCUGCUUUCCAGACAGGAAAACCAGACCAUCGCAGUGGAAGCAGUUACUCUUUAAAGCCCAAUUGGUGACUACAGCUCCAGGCUAGUAAAAUGAAGUUUACUUCUUCUUAAUCAUGGUUACCAGACUAUGGAAAGAAUGUUAGAUAAGAAGCAAUUUCGAGCAAUUUUCUUAUUUGAGUUCAAAAUCAGUCGUAAAGCAGCAGAGACAACUCACAACAUCAACAACUCAUUUGACCCAGGAA